CGAAAUGCGAUAAGUACUGUGAAUUGCAGAAUUCAGUGAAUCAUCGAAUCUUUGAACGCACCUUGCGCUCCUUGGUAUUCCUUGGAGCAUGCCUGUUUGAGUAUCAUGAAAUCUUCAAAGUAAAUCUUUUGUUAACUCAAUUGGUUUCUACUUUGGUAUUGGAGGUCUUUGCAGCUUCACACCUGCUCCUCUUUGUUCAUUAGCUGGAUCUCAGUGUUAUGCUUGGUUCCACUCGGCGUGAUAAGUUAUCUAUCGCUGAGGACACUGUAAAAGGUGGCCAAGGUAAAUGCAGAUGAACCGCUUCUAAUAGUCCAUUGACUUGGACAAUACUUUUAUGAUCUGAUCUCAAAUCAGGUAGGACUACCCGCUGAACUUAAGC
rnacentral:misc_RNA from 1 species